rnacentral:lncRNA from 1 species
CGGCCGCUGCGCGCCGGACGGGGCCCAAGCGGGGGUCGGAGCCUCAAGGCUGCGGCGGCGACGAGCUCCGAGCGGGACACUGAACGGCCCGUAUGCGCAAGAUAAGCACGGACUGAAUCAGGUACACGCACCUGCCGGGGACGCACUGACCGAGGUGCGGACGGCGGUACCAGGACAGGUAAAGCCGCGAACACUCGGACCUAAGAACUUGACAGGUACACCCUGCCUGAUGAAGCUACGUACGGCCAGGUGCGCAUCGAGUGAAUCAGGUCAUCAUCUCACCCUUGUUCAUUAUUGGAUGGAGAAACCAGGGUCCCAGAGACACUGGCCGGCUGGGGCAAGAUCACCACUCAUUCCUAUCAACAGCUGGGUUAAAGGUGCAGAAGACAUGCUUAUUCGAUUUGCAGGUGACCCAAAACUAGAUGCAGUGGCUGGUAUUUUAAAUGACCAAACAAGAGCCCAAAAUCCCCUAAAGCGGAUGAGAUGAUGGACUAACCCCUCUACGGAUGGAUGUAAAAUUAAAAUUUUUUGCAUGAAAGAGA